GUGUUCAUUUCGGCAGCACAUAUACUAAAAUUGGAACGAUACGGAGAAGAUUAGCAUGGCCCCUGCGCAAGGGAUUCCUCCUCCAGCAUCUAUAGCAGAAUAUUUCCUUU